UACGGAGGGUGCAAGCGUUAUCCGGAUUCACUGGGUUUAAAGGGUGUGUAGGCGGGGAUUUAAGUCAGUGGUGAAAUCUCUGAGCUCAACUCAGAAACUGCCAUUGAUACUAUUUAUCUUGAAUAUCGUUGAGGUUGGCGGAAUAUAUCAUGUAGCGGUGAAAUGCAUAGAUAUGAUAUAGAACACCGAUUGCGAAGGCAGCUAACUAAGCGAUGAUUGACGCUGAGGCACGAAAGCGUGGGGAUCAAACAGG
rnacentral:rRNA from 1 species